UGCAUGGACCCGCCUUGAGCUUCAGUUUUCUCCAGACUUCAGCUGUCACACCCGUCUCUUGAGCCACAAAAAACUUUCCUGUCCCAAGGUUGAAGCUUCAAUCAGUUUUCCCCAGCACCACAUCAAAGAAAGACAAAAUGAGUGUUGCUGUCUUGACUGCCAUAAUGGUCACUGUAGCCAUGACUGCGAACUCUUUACCUUGUGAAGACACAAGCCCCCCAAGUCAAUAUAAAGAAUUUAUCAAAAGACACAUCCUUCAAGAUAUAUUUGACCGAAGUCUUCCAAUUGAGUGGGAGAGAUUUUUGAAAAGGAAAGGCCUCUGGUGCAGAACUUCAUUGCAGUCCUUCAUUGAGAGCAGUGAUCAGAUGAAUAUCGAAGGGAUUUGCAGCCAAAAUGGUCGACGCCUAAUCAAUACACAAGAUAACUUGUGUAUCAGCAGUUCAGUCAUACUGGUAUAUGACAUCCAGUUUCUAUAUGGUUGUAAUCUUAAUGUGAUACAAAAGCAUAAGCCUGUGAUUGUGGCAUGUAAUAAUGUUAAAAAUCGAUGCCGUCCUGUGCAUUUUGAGAAAUACAUAAAGCAAACACCAAGCACUACGCCCUGCAGUAACUAAAUUUUUAAAUAGUUAAUGUGCUAAUUAGUGACUCAGGCUUUCAAAUAAAAUGUCAAGCUCAAAAGUCAAAUAAAUAAGUGAAUAAAUCUAUCCUACAGAGCUUGCUGAAUGGUGCAACUCUGUCUUCCUGUUUAUUAAAGUUAACAGGGAACCGUCUAGUUACUGUUCAGUUAAUCAGAGUAAAUGUUCAAAGUCAUCCAAUUUGCUUUCAUUUUACAAUGCUGGCUUUAGCAAUUUGAUUAAAUAUGUCAACACAAUGAACAUAAAGAGGUAAUGGUAUGCAUGUUUUACUGUAACUGAGAAGUCUUCAUUACUGUUCAGUUUUGUUCUCUGAGUGUUGUGCUAAAGCUAGUCUGGCCUUUAUCUGAAAUAAUUCUUUUAAGCACAUGUAAAACAAUAAUAAAACAUUCGUCAGCUUCUCUGGCCUUUCAGCUUUUGAUGCCAUUAAAUAUAAAACUAUCAGCUGACUGAAGGUGUAAUGAA